rnacentral:lncRNA from 1 species
UAAACUAUUAUUAAGAAACUGAUUACUUUUAUAAUAUUCUGACUUACUUUGCUUGUAUGAGUAUCUAUCAUUUGUCACACGACUUUGAUAGGUAUAAGGAAUACGUAUAAGAUCUCCUAUUUGUAUAGAAGUAAAAAAUCAUUCAAUUUUUUAUUUGUCCCACGACUUUUAUUAGAAGAAAGAAUACAUACAAGAUCUCCUAUUUGUAUAGAAGUCUAAAAUCAAAUAAUAUAAGCUUGUUGUAAACCUAAACAACAAAUCAAGUCUCAUUGGUGGAAAACAACAAUUCCAUUAGGGCGAGUUCGUUACCUGCACAAGGUAUAAAAAGGACCAACGAUUCUGCCUCACACUACUAGGGAUUACAAUCUCUACCAUGAUAUUUUGGCUAAUAAAAAGUGGAGGUGCCCCAAUUGGCAUUAUGAGAGGUAAAUCUUUGUCAUUAUUUUUGUUGUAUAUGUAUAUAUUAAUGUGCAAAUCCACUACAUGUUAUGCAGAGUAAUGUGUAUAUGAGUUUCUAAAAGAUCAACUGUGAUGUUGACUAAGAAAGGGCAAGUUGCAAAACUUGCAGAGGGUGUAGAAGAGAUCCAAAAUGCAGAAUACACCUCUUAUCUUUCAGACUUUAUGUAAACUAUAUGUAAACUUCAGACUGCAUCAUCAUAUUUUUUUAUUAACAGUCAGAGCUUGAUCACCACUUUUAAUUGGAAUCUGGAUGCACGUGCCAUCUUCCACCGUGUAGUACACAAAUUCCUACAGUGCUAGUGGCAACAUCUGCAGAGGCUUUGGGCGAGGAGGUGGUGGAUGACAAGGCUCUCUAACUAGUCGUCGUUCAGGUUCUGUGAUGGCCAUGCAUUGGAUGCUCUUAUCAAAAGGGCUUGUUGCUAUACGAUGGGUGAUGAUUGCACUU